GACGAACGCUGGCGGCGUGCUUAACACAUGCAAGUCGAACGGAAAGGCCCUGCUUUUGUGGGGUGCUCGAGUGGCGAACGGGUGAGUAACACGUGAGUAACCUGCCCUUGACUUUGGGAUAACUUCAGGAAACUGGGGCUAAUACCGGAUAGGAUCUCCUGCUGCCUGGUGGGGGUUGGAAAGUUUCGGCGGUUGGGGAUGGACUCGCGGCUUAUCAGCUUGUUGGUGGGGUAGUGGCUUACCAAGGCUUUGACGGGUAGCCGGCCUGAGAGGGUGACCGGCCACAUUGGGACUGAGAUACGGCCCAGACUCCUACGGGAGGCAGCAGUGGGGAAUAUUGCACAAUGGGCGGAAGCCUGAUGCAGCAACGCCGCGUGCGGGAUGACGGCCUUCGGGUUGUAAACCGCUUUCGCCUGUGACGAAGCGUGAGUGACGGUAAUGGGUAAAGAAGCACCGGCUAACUACGUG
rnacentral:rRNA from 1 species